AUUGAACGCUGGCGGCAAGCCUAACACAUGCAAGUCGAACGAGUGGCGGACGGGUGAGUAAUGUCUGGGAAACUGCCUGAUGGAGGGGGAUAACUACUGGAAACGGUAGCUAAUACCGCAUACCAUCGGAUGUGCCCAGAGGGGAUUAGCUAGUAGGUGGGGUAAAGGCUCACCUAGGCGACGAUCCCUAGCUGGUCUGAGAGGAUGACCAGCAACACUUGAACGGAGACAUGGUCCGGAUUCCUACGGCAGGCAGCAGUGGGGAAUAUUGCACAGUGGCCGCAAGCCUGAGGAAGCCAUGCCGCGUGUAUGAAGAAGGCCUUCGGGUUGUAAAGUACUGUCAGCGGGCAGGCGUUACCCGCAGAAGAAGCUCCGGCUAACUGCGUGCCAGCAGCCGCGGUAAUAC
rnacentral:rRNA from 1 species